rnacentral:rRNA from 1 species
UACGGAGGGUGCAAGCGUUGUCCGGAAUCAUUGGGCGUAAAGCGCACGUAGGCGGUUCUUUGAGUCUCAUGGUGAAAGGCUGGGGCUCAACCCCAAGCAUGCCGGGGAUACUGGAGGACUGGAGACAGGUAGAGGCCAGCGGAAUUCCGGGUGUAGCGGUGGAAUGCGUAGAGAUCCGAAAGAACACCGGUGGCGAAGGCGGCCUGCUGGGCAGUGGCUGACGCUGAGGCGCGACAGCGUGGGGAGCAAACAGG